CCGGAUGGUAUCCCGGGCGUCGCAGGACCGCCCUCGUGCUGGUGGUGGCGGGAUGCUGUGCACGUUUACCCGGUGGCCUGGCUCGC
rnacentral:pre_miRNA from 1 species